rnacentral:lncRNA from 1 species
AAUAACUUGCCAGCUGGAGAGAUAUCGCAGAAUGCAAUUGCUUUUCAAAGCAUUUGUUGGCAUCUACCACCUGCGGCAGUGCAAGUAGAUAGGCAAGAGCCAGGGUCAUAUCCUUUGGUAAAGCAUCACUUGCCAGUUGUAACAGAACUUCUGUAGUUGGAAGUAGGUCCUUUGCUUCACUCUUCGUUUCUGUGAGUUUCUCUGUUCUCAACAAUACUUCCGCAAAACUUUCCAAAGAAUUGUUCUGGUACGUGCCAUAGCUGAUUUCAGAUUCUGCAACAUACGGGUCAGCAAUUAGAGACUCAUAAAAUGGAUGACAGCCUUGCUUUUCCACAGUGACAUUUUCUCCCAGCCCACUUUUUAAUACAUCCCCAAGUUCUUGCCCAUGUAACGGUCGAAGAUAAGUUAGUGAUCUCUUCCACCAUUGACCAUCACUGACAGCAUGCAGCAUGGCUUUUGUAGUCAUAGUUGUGUUAGACAACACCUUCAUGGUUUUUGCUGUUGUCCAGUACAAUAAAUCAGCAGACUGGCUAGCGGAGAUGUUGGUAUCAUCCUCUGUAUCCUUACUCAUCAGUGAAGAAGGUCCUGAGGUAU